UACGAAGGGGGCUAGCGUUGCUCGGAAUUACUGGGCGUAAAGGGCGCGUAGGCGGAUAGUUUAGUCAGAGGUGAAAGCCCAGGGCUCAACCCUGGAAUUGCCUUUGAUACUGGCUAUCUUGAGUUCGGGAGAGGUGAGUGGAACUCCGAGUGUAGAGGUGAAAUUCGUAGAUAUUCAGAAGAACACCAGUGGCGAAGGCGACUCACUGGCCCGAUACUGACGCUGAGGCGCGAAAGCGUGGGGAGCAAACAGGAUUAGAAACC
rnacentral:rRNA from 1 species